rnacentral:rRNA from 1 species
CCUAUGGGCGGCUGCAGUGAGGAAUAUUGGUCAAUGGGCGCGAGCCUGACCCAGCCAAGUAGCGUGAAGGAUGACUGCCCUACGGGUUGUAAACUUCUUUUAUAAAGGAAUAAAGUGAGGCACGUGUGCCUUUUUGUAUGUACUUUAUGAUUAAGGAUCGGCUAACUCCGUGCCAGCAGCCGCGGUAAGACGUAGGAUCCGAGCGUUAUCCGGAUUUAUUGGGUUUAAAGGGAGCGUAGAUGGGUUGUUAAGUCAGUUGUGAAAGUUUGCGGCUCAACCGUAAAAUUGCAAUUGAUACUGGCAGUCUUGAGUACAGUUGAGGUAGGCGGAAUUCGUGGUGUAGCGGUGAAAUGCUUAGAUAUCACGAAGAACUCCGAUUGCGAAGGCAGCUUACUAAACUGCCACUGACAUUGAUGCUCGAAAGUGUGGGUAUCAAACAGGAUUAGAUACCCUAGUAGUC